AGGAGAAGGAAGGAAGGAAGUCUGUGUUAGAUACUCACUUUCACCAUUCGGCCGCUUUACUGACAAGUUCUCGAAACAUGUCAGAACAAGUAUUGCUUCAUUGUUACUAGCAUUCACCUAUUUCAGCAGAGAUCAGCUAAGAUCAUCCAUCUUAUUGCCAGCCUUGUAUUUCAGCAUGCCUUCUUAUCACAAACUGGAUUAGAAAAUUUACUAAAUAUUGUUUUAAAAUAUUUAUAAGUAAACCCCUAUAUCUCAGGGGCAGAAAACAAAAAGCAAUCCAUUAGAUUGUGAAUUAACAUAUGUUGAAAGAAAGAAUUUCUCAGAUUUAUUUUUCUCUAUGUGUUCUAUGCUGGUAUUUGGAAUUAAAUACAGCUGAGGUAUAGUAGCAUUUAUAUAGAUUAUAUGAAGAGAAUGACUUGCCUCAAAACAAUGUAAAACAGGAAAGUAAAAUUUAAGAGCAACAAGUGUGCAAAAGUACAAACCUACGGCAUUUUUUUUCCUUUCCCUCACCUCUUCAGAGUAUACCAGUGCUGCAGCUUGUGAUGGGGGAGAGGAUCAAAUCACCUCUGGGAAAGAAAGUCUGAGCAGAUGUUUCCUGCAACCCAGAUGCUCCAGUCAUGAGGCUAUGAGGAAGAGGGGAGCCAUUGCAUGGUGUUAAGAUGUGAUCCUUCUGGAUUUACUGCAACCUGGACAUCAACUUUCUGCCGCAUCUUGACACUGCCUAAGCUGAAGGUUUGAACUUCCAGAGUCAGGCCAGAGAAGAAGACAACCUUUAUUUUGGAACACAAUUAUGCCAGGCCCAUUACUUUGAAGACUGUGAAACACAUUGCCAGUCUUGUCUGGACUGACCUACCACAUCCACAUAUAAUCUGAGUUUAGUGCCUUUUGACUUCCAUCUGUUUGGGCCAAUGAAAGAUGGACUGUUAAAGCAACACUUUCUCAGCAUUAAAACACCAUCAUAGGCGUUGUGAAACAGUGGGUCAUCUCAGCUAGUGCAGAUUUUUAUGAGCAUGGCAUUUAGGCUCUUGUUCAUCACUGGCAAAAAUGCAUAGCCAGUAGAGGUGAAUGUUGAAAAAUCACUUUGUAGCUGAGAAUCUAUUCUAUCCAGCCAUAUUAUUUGUGCUCUCUGUAUCUGUUGUAAUUUCUAUGGAAAUGAAUGUUAAAAGGCAUUACUUUCAGAGCAACCUACAUCUACAGAUGGAACACUGCCAAAUAUUUUCUCUCUUUUUUUUUUUUAAUGCCUGAAAUAAAAAAAUAAAAAAGGACUUUAUAACUUAAAGUGUAAGGCAACAUUAUGAUUAUGCAGUUGCAACAGCCUGCCAACUGUAAUAUUUUCAGAGAAGCAGGAUUUCUUAAUUCCCAAUAGAUUUCACUGAAGAGAUGAUCUGGGGGAGUCAUUAAAAGCUAUCUUUCCAAAGUGAAAAUGAAGGUUAAUUAAUUCUGCAAAAGGGAUUCAUGAUUAUAUAUUAGAGAAUAAUUGCCAUAUAAAUCUGUUUUCUUGAUUUUCACCAGGUGGAUGAAAUGAUCUUUUACAAAAAAAAAAAAAAAAUUAUAAGGAAGAUUAUUUUUCCGGUGAUAUAGCAGUAUACUUUGAUGUUAAUAAUGUAGUGGAUUGGGCUUAUAAGAUUUGGGAAGCUUUGAGAUGCUUGUGUUGCAAUGUUUGAUCCUAUCAUUGUUGACCCAAUGCCUUAGUAAGGAAUAUAUACCAUAUUAAAUCUAUGAAAUUUAUUGUUGUUUAUUUUUUUAUUGUUGCUUAUAUUUAUGGAAUGAUUAUUAGUUACAAAUUGGUGAACUGGGUUGAAUUUUUCAUGUUCUAGAGUUUGGAGUAGGUUGACUGAACUAAU
ensembl:lncRNA